rnacentral:tRNA from 1 species
CGAUAGCACAGUUGGUAGUGCGUUUGAUUCGUAAUCAAAAGGUCGUCGGUUCGAUUCCGGCUCGG